AGAGUUUGAUCAUGGCUCAGAUUGAACGCUGGCGGCAGGCCUAACACAUGCAAGUCGAACGGUAACAGGAAACAGCUUGCUGUUUCGCUGACGAGUGGCGGACGGGUGAGUAAUGUCUGGGAAACUGCCUGAUGGAGGGGGAUAACUACUGGAAACGGUAGCUAAUACCGCAUAACGUCGCAAGACCAAAGAGGGGGACCUUCGGGCCUCUUGCCAUCGGAUGUGCCCAGAUGGGAUUAGCUUGUUGGUGGGGUAACGGCUCACCAAGGCGACGAUCCCUAGCUGGUCUGAGAGGAUGACCAGCCACACUGGAACUGAGACACGGUCCAGACUCCUACGGGAGGCAGCAGUGGGGAAUAUUGCACAAUGGGCGCAAGCCUGAUGCAGCCAUGCCGCGUGUAUGAAGAAGGCCUUCGGGUUGUAAAGUACUUUCAGCGGGGAGGAAGGGAGUAAAGUUAAUACCUUUACUCAUUGACGUUACCCGCAGAAGAAGCACCGGCUAACUCCGUGCCAGCAGCCGCGGUAAUACGGAGGGUGCAAGCGUUAAUCGGAAUUACUGGGCGUAAAGCGCACGCAGGCGGUUUGUUAAGUCAGAUGUGAAAUCCCCGGGCUCAACCUGGGAACUGCAUCUGAUACUGGCAAGCUUGAGUCUCGUAGAGGGGGGUAGAAUUCCAGGUGUAGCGGUGAAAUGCGUAGAGAUCUGGAGGAAUACCGGUGGCGAAGGCGGCCCCCUGGACGAAGACUGACGCUCAGGUGCGAAAGCGUGGGGAGCAAACAGGAUUAGAUACCCUGGUAGUCCACGCCGUAAACGAUGUCGACUUGGAGGUUGUGCCCUUGAGGCGUGGCUUCCGGAGCUAACGCGUUAAGUCGACCGCCUGGGGAGUACGGCCGCAAGGUUAAAACUCAAAUGAAUUGACGGGGGCCCGCACAAGCGGUGGAGCAUGUGGUUUAAUUCGAUGCAACGCGAAGAACCUUACCUGGUCUUGACAUCCACGGAAGUUUUCAGAGAUGGAAUGGUGCCUUCGGGAGCUGUGAGACAGGUGCUGCAUGGCUGUCGUCAGCUCGUGUUGUGAAAUGUUGGGUUAAGUCCCGCAACGAGCGCAACCCUUAUCCUUUGUUGCCAGCGGUCCGGCCGGGAACUCAAAGGAGACUGCCAGUGAUAAACUGGAGGAAGGUGGGGAUGACGUCAAGUCAUCAUGGCCCUUACGACCAGGGCUACACACGUGCUACAAUGGCGCAUACAAAGAGAAGCGACCUCGCGAGAGCAAGCGGACCUCAUAAAGUGCGUCGUAGUCCGGAUUGGAGUCUGCAACUCGACUCCAUGAAGUCGGAAUCGCUAGUAAUCGUGGAUCAGAAUGCCACGGUGAAUACGUUCCCGGGCCUUGUACACACCGCCCGUCACACCAUGGGAGUGGGUUGCAAAAGAAGUAGGUAGCUUAACCUUCGGGAGGGCGCUUACCACUUUGUGAUUCAUGACUGGGGUGAAGUCGUAACAAGGUAACCGUAGGGGAACCUGCGGUUGGAUCACCU
rnacentral:rRNA from 1 species